GCAAAUUUUGGCAGUUACAAACCUGUACACUUUUUUUUUUGUUGUUUUGUUUUUAUAGCAAAAGAACACAAGACAAUACUGCCAACAGCAAUUAUGAAGGAACAAUUAGUUUCUGAAUGAAGGACUAUACCCACUCAAAGUGAUUAACCUUCCCUUUUGCAUAAGGUUGAAUUUGUUGUCAUUGGAGAAAUGACAUCUCUCAAUACUUACUUGAAAUGGCAUAAAAAUCAUGUCUAUCUUUUUUUGUGCAAAACACAUUCAUUUGAAAAAAGUCAAUAAAAACCAUCUUCUUAAAAACAGAAAGAAGUUAAAACAAAAAGCUGAAUCCAAAGGAAAGUUACAGUACAUUUUGAAAUGAUUAAAAAGUUUUAAAAUCUAAAACGUCUUUGUUUUUCUUUUUUUUUUUUUUUUGCUGUUACCUUAAAAGUUUAAACCAACUUUGAUGACUCUUUAGAAUUAUAUCAAACAAACAAACAAAAAGAAAUUAAAGCGACCUGAUUGGCAUCAAAUAUCUACAAAAGCCUGGUAAUUUGAAACCAUUAUAUACAUUAUUUUAUAAACUUCUUUUUAAACACCAAAACAUACAUCUUUUACAAACCAGCCUGCUUGCAACAGGUAAAAUUUACAAGACAAUCUUUUCCGAUACAGUGCUUUAAAGAGAACUGCUUUCACUCCUAAACAUCUUUGUCACCUCCUGAAAAGCGGCAGUAUGGGCUCCUUGCAUUGUUAAGUAAUAGCGAUUCAGGUAUUCCUAUGACAGAAGAAUGCUACAGUUCUGAGGGCUCCAAUCUCUUUCCAUAACACAGUUCAAGUGCACUCUUAACACUGGUAAAGAUUACAUAUGGCCUUUGUGUAACACGACAUAUUUGCAAUUAUUGCUUUUCAUUAUUACAUAAAGAAAUGAAGUUAAUUUCAUUUCCUCCCCGUCCACCCAUCCCUUGGAUGAUGCAGCUAAUUUACUAACUGAAUGGCCCCUCUGAUAAUGGAGAUGUCAAAUGUCAAGUUUAUGAAACACAGGCUAAAAGCCAUGGAUAAUGGGCAAUAGUCUAAAUUUCUAAGGCUCACAUCGCAGUUUGGUGUAUUGAGAGGAACAGAGAUGCAAACAGGCAAAAAGCACAGUUUUACUGCAUGAUAAAUGAUGGUAAAUCACCAGAGAAUGAACCUGAAGAUGUAGCUCUCUUGUUGGAAACCUACAAAAUGUCCAUUAUUAAUUGGUGAAUAGCUCCAAAAAAAUACCAACAAAGCACAAAGGUACUUUAACUACUGGUUUUAAAUAGCUGGUUUUCUCCAUUAUUAAGGAUGCUACCUCUUCAAAUGAAGCUUAGCAGAACUGGCCCAGGGCACCUUCAACUCACUCUCCCAUGACUACAAUUAUUAUCGGCUGUAAGAAUACACUCUAGCAUCCAUUUAGCUUUUUCAAGCAGGAGUUCGAUGAGGAGUAAAGCUUAACCAUUUGCCGUGUCCAGCCCACAGUUCUCUUUACAACUGAAUUUAUAUUGAGCCAUGAGCCACAAUUUUUAUGUCAUAUUCUCAAGGUUUCCCACCCGCCUGGUUCGCAGGGACCAAAGGCUGCUGCCUCCCCAUUAAUCAGCAUUUCAGUGGCAUGCAUUUUUUCACUGUGCUGCACCUACUCUGAGUUUCUGACUGGAAAGGACAGCAAUACAUCAAGGCUAGCACUACUUCGAACUAGACUGCAGAAUUUAGAGAAGGGGAGAAAACAAUUCUGAGGACCAAAAUUUAACCUGUUUGUGGGACAUACAGAGCGGAAGAGCUCACUUGAGAGAUGAAGCACACAACUUUCUGACGUCAGGAAAAUAGUGGCCCUGAGAAGCCUUUGACUCCUUCUAGCCUUCUACUGCUACUGUAGGUUAAGGAAACCCAUGGGACAAUUCAGGAUCAAAGAUGUCACUGAGCUUUAGGAAAACAGCUUAAUUGCCUGAAAAUGGCAGUACUGCAAUGAAUCUCUGCAUUCCAUCAUCCUCCUGAUUGCCUUCAUAUGCUGUGCCCCACAGGAGGGUCCUAUAGGAAGGCAACUUGACGGUGGUCUUCUAGUGGGGUUGUCCAUUUGCCCCCAUGGUAGGGAAGUGAUUCUGCAGCUCCUUGGUGUUACCUUUGGCCCUUUGCCCUGCUAUAAGAUACUGGCUUAGGACAGCAAUCACAUCCAGUAUCCAGGGUUUUGUGUUCUGGGGUUUUUUUGACCUUUUUUUUAGGAUGUUUGUAAUACAAAGGCAAAAAUUAACAUGUUUAAGAAAGAUACAUAAGCCCAAUUUUUCCUUUUGCACAAGGCCACUUAAUGUGGUGUUGGCAGCAUAAAUUAUGUUGUCAGUCACUUCAAGGCUCUUUCCAUUGCCCGUAUUAUCCAAAAGGCUGUCAAAUGUGCAUGACAUUCUCAACCUGAUCACAACACAGAGAACAAGCACCCUUUUACUCAUACACCCCUGUCGAACUCAGUGAUUUCUGAUACAAACAUGUAUUUGCAUUUUAACAAGUUGCUUAUUUCUUUUUGGUUUUUCUUUACAGAAAACAAACACUGUCUUGAUCCGAAGAGUUAUAAUCCACUGAUACUCAAAAGUACUUUAUUAAGUCUAUGAAACCUCUCCUACAGACGAUUCCGAAAGGAAAUACUGUGUAUUGGAGCCAUCUACAGGAAUGUGAACUGAAAUACAGACACGGGAUAAGCAGAUAUGAGGGGAAGCUCUAACAGAACCAGGGACCAGGCAAUGAUAGCAGCAGCGAUAUAAAAAUCAUCCUAGGCAGAAAAAGAAAUAUAUAUUGGAUGGAUUAAUACGCACGAUAAUUCUUACAUUAAGUUAUGAAUGUGUUGUUAUCUUCCAGGUUAGACGAUUAUGACCUGUCCAUGUUGAGCAGUAAUUAAAAAGAAAAUAAAAUGGUCUGGAUUAACAGGAGAGGGUUUAAUAUGAAAACUUUACUCCCUAAGAUGUAUUUCACCUUGAGAUCUGCAUUUGAGUCUUAUUAUUAUCAAAAAGAGCCAGAACAAAACCAGAAAGGCCACAGAAGUACCAAUAUUCACAGAGGGGUGUCUAUUUGAAUAUGCAUUAGGCCUAUUUGAUUUGGAGGGGAGGAGAUACUGAGGUAUAGAAAUCAUGAGGGGGUCAGAGAAGGCUGAAUGGGUGAUCCUUGGUGCCUUCCCAACAGCAUUUUAAUAAGUAGGUGUUCAGUGAAACGAAAUGGCAACAACAGCAAAACAGAAAAAGUACUAUACAUUGUAUUUAUGCAUAUUUUACUAGUAAAACUCACUACCAACAAGAUAUUACCGAGGCAACAAGCUUGGUAAGAAACAUUGAUUUUUUUUUUUUUUUUUGUAUGGCAAUUGCUAGGUUCCCAUGGUGUUCUCCCUCAUGGCACUUUUGAUAUGUCCCAGUAAAGUUUUGAUAUCAGUGUCUCAGGCUUACUCAAAAAUUUUCACUACAGAAAACAGAUGACAGGUACACUUCAGAACUAACUGGGG
rnacentral:lncRNA from 1 species